rnacentral:rRNA from 1 species
AUGGUUUCUCACCAUCGUUCCAGAUCAUUGCGCCGCCAAGCAAGUCUUCUCCAUCCCUCCUUCUGGCGUCCACUGCGAGAAGGGACAACAGGCCUCUGGAACCCCGCCUCUCGUGAUCCUGUACGGGAGAGGGGCGAUCAGGUUUUUGGGGAGCGCACUCGCGCGACUGCUGACAGCGACGACUUCGCGAACGACGACUUCUUCCCCGACCUCGGCAACCUCAUCCUCGAAGACAUGGGCGACAACGUCAAUGCCGGCGGUGCUGCACCCGCUGCACCGCAAUUUACUCCGAGUGGUUUUACUGCGCAUCUGAAGCCACCUGCCUUUAAGGGGGCGCAAUAUAAGAGGUGGUGCACGAGAGCAGUCUACUGGUUUCAGACCAUGGGCUGCUAUGAUGUCACCAAGGGCAAGCCUGAGGGCGAUCUUAAUCCAGCACAACUGGAAGCUUUUGAGAAGAUCAAUACGCCCUCUUUAAAGGCGCUCUUCUAA